UCCCCUAUAGUGUAGUGGUUAGCAUAUCAGAUUUUCAGUCGUCAACGAUAGGCUCUCUGAAGACCCGGGAUCAAACCCCGGUGGGGGAA